UGCUUUGAUGGAUGGCGACCGGCGCACGGGUGAGUAACACGUAUCCAACCUGCCGACAACACUGGGAUAGCCUUUCGAAAGAAAGAUUAAUACCGGAUGGCAUAGUUUUCCCGCAUGGGAUGACUAUUAAAGAAUUUCGGUUGUCGAUGGGGAUGCGUUCCAUUAGGCAGUUGGCGGGGUAACGGCCCACCAAACCUACGAUGGAUAGGGGUUCUGAGAGGAAGGUCCCCCACAUUGGAACUGAGACACGGUCCAAACUCCUACGGGAGGCAGCAGUGAGGAAUAUUGGUCAAUGGACGAGAGUCUGAACCAGCCAAGUAGCGUGAAGGAUGACUGCCCUAUGGGUUGUAAACUUCUUUUAUACGGGAAUAAAGUGAGCCACGUGUGGCUUUUUGUAUGUACCGUAUGAAUAAGGAUCGGCUAACUCCGUGCCAGCAGCCGCGGUAAUACGGAGGAUCCGAGCGUUAUCCGGAUUUAUUGGGUUUAAAGGGAGCGUAGGCGGGUUGUUAAGUCAGUUGUGAAAGUUUGCGGCUCAACCGUAAAAUUGCAGUUGAUACUGGCGACCUUGAGUGCAACAGAGGUAGGCGGAAUUCGUGGUGUAGCGGUGAAAUGCUUAGAUAUCACGAAGAACUCCGAUUGCGAAGGCAGCUUACUGGAUUGUAACUGACGCUGAUGCU
rnacentral:rRNA from 1 species